AGCGAACGCUGGCGGCAGGCUUAACACAUGCAAGUCGAGCGCCCGUAGCAAUACGGGAGCGGCAGACGGGUGAGUAACACGUGGGAACGUGCCCUUUGGUUCGGAACAACACAGGGAAACUUGUGCUAAUACCGGAUAAGCCCUUACGGGGAAAGAUUUAUCGCCAAAGGAUCGGCCCGCGUCUGAUUAGCUAGUUGGUGGGGUAAUGGCCCACCAAGGCUACGAUCAGUAGCUGGUCUGAGAGGAUGAUCAGCCACACUGGGACUGAGACACGGCCCAGACUCCUACGGGAGGCAGCAGUGGGGAAUCUUGGACAAUGGGCGCAAGCCUGAUCCAGCCAUGCCGCGUGAGUGAUGAAGGCCUUAGGGUUGUAAAGCUCUUUCGCUGGGGAAGAUAAUGACGGUACCCAGAGAAGAAGCCCCGGCUAACUUCGUGCCAGCCGCCGCCGUAAGAC
rnacentral:rRNA from 1 species